rnacentral:rRNA from 1 species
AUGGUGUUGAGGUAUUGUCAUCGGCGCGGCCAGCUUCAUCACCUUGCUUACCUAAUAUCUGUUCUUCUGCUUCAGGUCCCCUCUUCAUUUUUCCUUUGUUGGGAGUGGCACAAUAGAGGAUUGCUCAAGGUUUGUGUUAUGAUGGUAGUCCUCUGGUUUGGUAUAAAAAGGAGCAGGGGUCUGCAAGUGGCAAUAAUUCAGGGGAAAAGGCAAAGUUUCCAGGAGUUUAAAGUGGAUCAGGAUAUGCUAGUUUGCAUGCCUAUCUAUUUUCCUAGUUUGCUUACGUACCAGUUUCCUUGUCGCGGUGGUCAGCUCGUUGGCUUUUUGUUAUCCCGUAAGGUGCAUCUUUCAUGUAUACUGUCCCGUUACGGGAAACUUCAGUUUCUUAUCUAG